AAGUGUAGAUUUUUGCAGUCCUAUAUAGGGGCAAUGUCGUUUUAUACACUCGGAUAUGGGCAUUCCGCAUGGCAAUAUGUUAUUCUGAUUUUUGUUUUUACUUUGAGAAGACAUGGUUGAGUAAGUAGUGGUUAACUUUUAUAAGACUCAAUAACCCCUUGUACUUGAAGCGGGAAGGACCUUGCGUUUUGCUCUUAUAU
rnacentral:lncRNA from 1 species